GGGCCCAUAGCUCAGCGGCAGAGCAUUCCGCUUAUAUCGGACAGGUCCCAGGUUCGAAUCCUGGUGGGCCCACAA
rnacentral:tRNA from 2 species